UACGGGGGGGGUAAGCGUUGUUCGGAAUUACUGGGCGUAAAGGGCUCGUAGGCGGCCAACUAAGUCAGACGUGAAAUCCCUCAGCUUAACUGGGGAACUGCGUCUGAUACUGGAUGGCUUGGAUUUGGGAGAGGGAUGCGGAAUUCCAGGUGUAGCGGUGAAAUGCGUUGAGAUCGGCAGGAACGCCUGUGGCGAAAGCGAGGUCCUGGACUCCUACUGACGUUGAGGCGCGAAAGCCAGGGGAGCGAACGGG
rnacentral:rRNA from 1 species